UACAGAGGGGGCAAGCGUUAUUCGGAAUUAUUGGGCGUAAAGAGCUCGUAGGCGGCCUGUCGCGUCGGCUGUGAAAACCCGGGGCUCAACCCCGGGCCUGCAGUCGAUACGGGCAGGCUAGAGUCCGGCAGGGGAGACUGGAAUUCCUGGUGUAGCGGUGAAAUGCGCAGAUAUCAGGAGGAACACCGGUGGCGAAGGCGGGUCUCUGGGCCGGAACUGACGCUAAGGAGCGAAAGCGUGGGGAGCGAACAGG
rnacentral:rRNA from 1 species